ensembl:lncRNA DRAIC downregulated RNA in cancer, inhibitor of cell invasion and migration
GGCGUGAGGAACACCAGCCAAGUCCUUCUGGCUGCGGUUAAAAGGGCUCACCAGCCUCUCCCUGAAGUCUUGGCCCGGGAGCCUGUGUCCUCCAGGUAGCUGUGCUGUGGGGAGCUGGAGAGGACUGAAGAGCUGAGGAGGGUCAUUGUGAAGCAUCUUGGGUUGGAGCUUUGUGUCUGAGGAUGGUGGGGCAGAAGACCUCAGCCCUUGCCCUCAAGGAACUUCUAGUCUAAGUGGAAAAGCAAGCUUAUUUCCUUUGACUUCCUCAACCCUCCUGUGAAAAGAGCCCUGGCCUUGGGUUUUAAUCCCACCUCUGCCAUUUGUUAGUUCUGUGACCUUGGGUGCAUGCCUUAAUCUUUCUGAACCUCUGUGUCUUCAUCAGCGAAAUGCAGAAAUGAUAAUGCCUCACAAGCUGGUUGUACAGAUUGAAUAACAAUGUGAACAGAGCACCGAGUAUAAUCCCUGAAACAGCAAACCAGAGGUCCCGUCUGGCUGGCAUGAAUGGAAGGGCAAACGCUCCGACCAAAUUGCUCUGGGAAUGUCAUUCUAAUUAUUGGAUCCUGACCCAGCAGCAUGCUGAUAAGCUCUGGGUUGGAGACGCCCUAUCUCAGAGGAGCUCCAAACCUGCUCAAGGCCUUUUCUUGCCCUCUGCAACUUUCCUGCCAAGCAAUUAGCCUCCAGGGUAAAACUGGUGUCCUUAGAAGAAGAGGAAAUUGGAACACGGACACGCACAGAGGAAAGACCAAGUGAAGAUACAGUGAGAAGAUGGCCAACGACAAGCCGAGGAACAGGGUCUCAGAGGACCCCAACCCUGCUGACACCUUGAUCUCGGGCUUUCAGCUUCCAGCACUGUGGCAAAAUUCAUUUCUACUGUUUAGGCCUCCCGGUCUGUGACAUGUUGUCACGGUGGCCACUGAAGACUCAGACAGCUUCCUUCUAGCUCUGGUUCUUCUACCGGUGUGCUUUCAGGUGCUCCGGAGGGCCCGGUGGCAGGGAAAGCCAGGUCUCCAGGCUCCUGGCCCAGGGCGUGUUUAGGAGGCAGGGCCUUCUCUGACACAAGUAUGAGGAGCAGAGAGGUUUCUCUUCUUCAGUCUCCACUAGGUCCUGGCCUCCAUGGCUUCUAUAGGCAGGGACCUGGCCAGGGCAUUCACCAGAGACUUUGACAGGGAGUCCAGGCCCAGACCCCAUAGGCAGAGCCAGGAGCCCUGUGCCAGCUUCCCAGGGAGCACCGGGGCCCAACGUAGAGUCAAGAGCUGGCAUCAGCACAGGUGCAAGGUGGGGUUGGGAAGGGCAUGGCAGCUUGGGGGUCUGCAGUGCACAGGUGGCCUGGCAUGAGGUAGGUGGGCCGGCUUGAAGGUCUAGAAGAUGGAUAGACACCAGAGACUUGUAGUCUAUGUCUCCUUCUUGCUGUCCCCUGGAUGUCACCUCCCCUCUGCCCCCAGUGCUGAACUAACCCCCUUCAUCUUUUACUUGGGACUCCAUCAGUGACUCAUCAUUGCUUUUGGUGUGACUUACCAGCGGCCGCUCCGUCUGCCUCUUCCUUCCCCUCCAGGGUCAUUUUGAACACUCUUCCUUCCUGACAACUAAACUUUUCACUGUUUCCCAUCA